rnacentral:rRNA from 1 species
GUCGGUAAAACUCGUGCCAGCCACCGCGGUUAUACGAGAGGCUCAAGUUGACAGCCUUCGGCGUAAAGCGUGGUUAGGGACUCACAACAACUAAAGCCAAACCCUCUCAUAGCUGUUAUACGCACUCGAGAGCAUGAAGCCCAACAACGAAAGUAGCUUUACUCCCCCUGACCCCACGAAAGCUGUGAAACAAACUGGGAUUAGAUACCCCACUAUG